GAUGAACGCUGGCGGCGUGCCUAAUACAUGCAAGUCGAGCGAAUGGAUUAAGAGCUUGCUCUUAUGAAGUUAGCGGCGGACGGGUGAGUAACACGUGGGUAACCUGCCCAUAAGACUGGGAUAACUCCGGGAAACCGGGGCUAAUACCGGAUAAUAUUUUGAACUGCAUGGUUCAAAAUUGAAAGGCGGCUUCGGCUGUCACUUAUGGAUGGACCCGCGUCGCAUUAGCUAGUUGGUGAGGUAACGGCUCACCAAGGCAACGAUGCGGAGCCGACCUGAGGGGGUGAUCGGCCACACUGGGACUGAGACACGGCCCAGACUCCUACGGGAGGCAGCAGGAGGGAAUCUUCCGCAAUGGACGAAAGUCUGACGGAGCAACGCCGCGUGAGUGAUGAAGGCUUUCGGGUCGUAAAACUCUGUUGUUAGGGAAGUACAAGUGCUAGUUGAAUAAGCUGGCACCUUGACGGUACCUAACCAGAAAGCCACGGCUAACUACGUGCCAGCCGCCGCUGUAA
rnacentral:rRNA from 1 species